AACAUGACUCAUCGAAACCCGACACUGAAGCCAAAGUUGAAAGUCACAUUUGAGAUAUUUUAUUAAUAGUAACGAAGAUUCAUUUCAUAACAGUCUCACUUCUACGUCUCCGAUCAAAGUCUUUAUUAUCUUCACCACCUCUCUCUCUCUCUCUGUCUCGGUUUCUCUGCUUUUGUUGUUUUGAAUUGAAACCAAUUAUCAUUUUGGUUUCAGUUUUCAUUUGUCUCUUAUAGAUGGAGAAGCCCCUGCUAAGCGGAGAAAGCAGUAGAGCUACUGCGGCUGGUCGCAAGAGAGAGCACCAUAAUCGUUCUGAGGCCAUUGCUUACGGCUCGAAUUUUGAAAAGGCUGCUGCUCUCGUUGAUCUGGCUGUAGAUGGUAUUGGUUUACCCGAGGAAAUUCUGGAUCAAUCAAACUUCCAGAGUGCUGCAAAAUCCUACCUCGUUUUUAUUCGAUUUGAUUUCUUUUGGUCCCUCAAUUAUUUUGCAAUGAUAAUCCUAAAUUUCUUAGAGAAACCUUUGUGGUGUUCCAACUAUUCUACAGAUUCUUGCAAUGAUAGGGAUUACUACUUUCUUGGGCAGUUGCCCUACUUAACUGGUGGGGAGUCUCUUAUUUAUGAGGGCAUAUGUCUAUUCAUACUUGUGAUACAUACCUUCUUUCCAAUUUCAUAUGAAGGGUACCGUCUUUAUUGGAAAAGUCUUCUUAAUCGAUUGAAGGUGGCUUUGCUGUUAAUUUGGGUUGCUGAUAUACUGGUUUAUGCUCUCUAUUUGUCUUCAGGGGGCUUUGAUUAUCUUCCUUUUAGAAUUGCACCAUAUAUCAGAGUUGUGUUUUUCAUGCUGAACUUUAGGGAAUUACGAGCGACCAUUGACAUCCUGGCUGGAAUGCUUAGCACCUACUUAAAUGUCUUGGCUUUAUGGCUUUUAUUUCUUCUGUUUUCCAGUUGGUUAGCCUAUGUCAUGUUUGAAGAUACCCAACAAGGGAAAACAGUAUUUACUUCGUAUGGCACCACACUGUAUCAGAUGUUUGUUUUGUUCACCACAUCCAACAAUCCAGAUGUUUGGACUCCAGCGUACAAGGCUUCGCGUUGGUUUUGUCUGUUUUUUGUUCUUUACAUCCUAUUGGGGGUUUACUUCAUCACCAGCUUGAUUCUUGCUGUUGUAUAUGACAGCUUCAAAGAUCAGCUUGUAAAACAAGUUUCUGUGAUGGACUCUUCAAGGAGACGAAUCCUGGAGAAAGCUUUUAAUCUCAUAGAUAAAAAUAAUCGUGGAUUUCUUGAUAAAGAGCAAUGCAUUCGACUGUUUGAGGAACUGAAUAAGUACAGGACUUUGCCAGAAAUAUCAAGAGAAGAAUUUGAGUUGAUAUUUGAUGAGCUGGAUGAUAGUCAUGAUUUCAAGAUCAACCUAAAUGAAUUUUUUGAUCUUUGCAAUGCCAUUGCUCUAAAAUUCCAGAAGGAAGAGUGUGAAUCUUGCUUUGAAUAUUUUCCAUCAGUCUACAAUUCACUCUGCUCUAAAAAGUUGAAAGGCUUUGUGCGGAGUCCUAGAUUUGGAUACAUUAUAUCCUUCAUCCUCAUACUGAAUUUGUUUGCUGUUAUUGUGGAAACAACGCUUGAUAUAGAAAAUAAUUCUGCUCAAAAGGUGUGGCAAGAGGUAGAGUUUGUCUUUGGAUGGAUAUAUGUGCUGGAAAUGGCUUUAAAAAUAUAUUCAUUUGGAUUUGUGAAUUAUUGGAGAGAUGGUCAAAACCGCUUUGAUUUUAUGAUCACUUGGAUAAUAGUUAUCGGAGAAACCUUGACUUAUGUGGCCCCUCAAGGACUUACUUUCCUUUCCAAUGGCGAAUGGAUUCGCUACCUUCUCCUCAUAAGAAUGUUAAGAUUGAUAAGGCUGCUGAUGUACGUCAAGCGUUACCGUGCCUUCAUUGCCACUUUCAUAACCCUUAUACCAAGUUUGAUGCCAUACCUUGGAACCAUAUUUUGUGUCCUAUGUAUUUAUUGCUCUCUUGGUGUACAGAUCUUUGGUGGAAUUGUCAAUGCUGGAAAUGCCAGUUUGGACGGGACUGAUCUUUCAGAUGAUGACUAUUUACUUUUCAAUUUCAAUGACUAUCCGAAUGGGAUGGUGACACUUUUCAAUUUACUGGUCAUGGGAAACUGGCAUGAAUGGAUGCAGAGCUACAAGGAAUUAACAGGAACUGCAUGGAGCGUCACUUACUUUGUCAGCUUCUACAUAAUAACUGUGUUACUGCUUUUAAAUUUGAUUGUAGCUUUUGUAUUGGAGGCAUUCUUUGCUGAAAUGGAACUCGAGUCAUCAGGAAGUUUUGAAGAAAAGGAUAAGGAAGUACAAGGCGGAAAGGAUCGCCGACGAUCUGUUGGUAUAAAAUCACAGAGCCAGAGGGUUGAUCUCCUUCUUCAUCAUAUGUUGAGUGCAGAGCUCGAUAAAGGGCCCCCCAACCCAUAGAUUUGCUUCAUUCCACUUGUGGUAACUGAACUAGACCUCACAAAAUCUUUUUACCAAGAUUUGAUCACUUUAUAAGACUGAAAACGACAUUUUGUUUUCCCAUCGGAUUUGCUAUUGUGAAUUACAAAGAAAAAUUCUGAAGCUGUUUUGCCAUUGCUUUGGGGUAUUUAGCCUUUACUCUUUAGUGGUUAGCAAAGCAAAAGAAUUGUUUCAAGUGACUCGUCCCGGAAGGAACCAUGCAAUUGCUUUAAAUAGUGAGCAGCAGACACACGCUUUGUUUUUCAUGCCAUUGGUACCAGGUUCUCCUUUUUGGCAGGCAGCUUAAUUUCUGUUAGCCUACACAGCUUAUGUUCUUCAAAAUCCUAUAAAGAAUAAAGGGAAAGGAAAUUCACAUAAUGCCAUAUGCGGAUGCCACAGCUUUUUUUGUAUGCCUAUAUUAUGCUAUCCAGCAUCUUAAUCUUAUUUUAUUUUAAUGCAAAUUAUAAAGUGGGCUGUCUAACUUUUUGGAAAAUGAUCCAACUUCUUAUAUAUUCAAAGAUGUUGUGCUUGAUCCAUUA